UCCCAGACUCCUACGGGAGGCAGCAGUGGGGGAUAUUGCACAAUGGGGGGAACCCUGAUGCAGCGACGCCGCGUGGGUGAAGGAGUGCUUCGGCAUGUAAAGCCCUAUCGGCAGGGAAGAAGCAAGACGGUACCUGACUAAGAAGCCCCGGCUAACUACGUGCCAGCAGCCGCGGUAAUACGUAGGGGGCAAGCGUUAUCCGGAUUUACUGGGUGUAAAGGGAGCGUAGACGGUGAGACAAGUCUGAAGUGAAAGCCCGGGGCUCAACCCCGGGACUGCUUUGGAAACUGCCUGACUGGAGUGCUGGAGAGGCAAGCGGAAUUCCUAGUGUAGCGGUGAAAUGCGUAGAUAUUAGGAGGAACACCAGUGGCGAAGGCGGCUUACUGGACUGUAACUGACGUUGAGGCUCGAAAGCGUGGGGAGCAAACAGGAUUAGAUACCCGGGUAA
rnacentral:rRNA from 1 species